GACGAACGCUGGCGGCGUGCUUAACACAUGCAAGUCGAACGUAAAGGCCCUGCUUUUGUGGGGUGCUCGAGUGGCGAACGGGUGAGUAACACGUGAGUAACCUGCCCAUGACUUUGGGAUAACUUCAGGAAACUGGGGCUAAUACCGGAUAGGAGCUCCUGCUGCAUGGUGGGGGUUGGAAAGUUUCGGCGGUUGGGGAUGGACUCGCGGCUUAUCAGCUUGUUGGUGGGGUAGUGGCUUACCAAGGCUUUGACGGGUAGCCGGCCUGAGAGGGUGACCGGCCACAUUGGGACUGAGAUACGGCCCAGACUCCUACGGGAGGCAGCAGUGGGGAAUAUUGCACAAUGGGCGGAAGCCUGAUGCAGCAACGCCGCGUGCGGGAUGACGGCCUUCGGGUUGUAAACCGCUUUCGCCUGUGACGAAGCGUGAGUGACGGUAAUGGGUAAAGAAGCACCGGCUAACUACGUG
rnacentral:rRNA from 1 species